rnacentral:rRNA from 1 species
ACGUAGGGUGCAAGCGUUAAUCGGAAUUACUGGGCGUAAAGCGUGCGCAGGCGGUUUUGUAAGACAGUGGUGAAAUCCCCGGGCUCAACCUGGGAACUGCCAUUGUGACUGCAAGGCUAGAGUGCGGCAGAGGGGGAUGGAAUUCCGCGUGUAGCAGUGAAAUGCGUAGAUAUGCGGAGGAACACCGAUGGCGAAGGCAAUCCCCUGGGCCUGCACUGACGCUCAUGCACGAAAGCGUGGGGAGCAAACAG